CCUGCCAGCCUGGCGAUGGCUGCUUCCCCUGCGCAGCUGGCAGCCGCCUGCCACUCCUCCUCUGUGGCUGGCCGGCCUGGCACAGCGCUUCUCCUCCCAUUCUCAUCACUAAUCAGAGCUCGCUCGCGAACUCUCCCGAGGGUUGCCACACAUAGGAUUAGGAACGGAUCCAGCUGUUUACUAAAUUCAGGCAGUGGUUCAGAACUCCACAGCCUCUUCCAAUGAUGGAGAGCCUGAGCUGAGCAUCAUCUUCAGUGUUACCAAAAUGAUUAUUAUAAACACAUUACUAAUAUUUGCAUGUGCUUUGACCAUUUAUCAAUAUUAUUUGAAAAAUAAACCAUUUAGACAUUUGA